rnacentral:rRNA from 1 species
AACGAACGCUGGCGGCAUGCUUAACCCUUGCAAGUCGAACGAGGCCGUCGGCUCUAGUGGCGCUCGGGCGCGGGACGGGUGGGAAACUGCCCUGAGGUUCCGAAUAACUCCCCGAAAGGGGCCCUAAUCCCGGAUUAUGUCUUCGUACCAAAGAUGUAUCGCCUUUGGAUGUGCCCGCGUUGGAUUAGCUCGUUGGUAGCGUAAAAGCCUCCCAAGGCUACGAUGCUAAGCUGGUCUCAGAGGAUGAUCAGAGACACUGGCACUGAGACACGGCCCAGACUCCUACGGGAUGGAGCAGUGGGGAAUAUUGGACAGUAGCCGAUAGCCUGAUCCAGCAAUGCCGGGUGAGCGAUGAAGGCUGGAGGGUUGUAAAGCACUUUGACCCGUGAUGAUAGUGACGGUACCAUCAGAAUAAGCUCCGGCUAACUCCGUG